rfam:Pestalotiopsis fici W106-1 unplaced genomic scaffold PFICI_Scf_24, whole genome shotgun sequence.
UGACCUCGGAUCAGGUAGGGAUACCCGCUGAACUUAAGCAUAUCAAUAAGCGGAGGAAAAGAAACCAACCGGGAUUGCCUCAGUAACGGCGAGUGAAGCGGCAAGAGCUCAAAUUUGAAAUCUGGCCCCUCCGGGGUCCGAGUUGUAAUUUGCAGAGGAUGCUUCGGGUGCGGCCCCUGUCUAAGUGCCCUGGAACGGGCCGUCAGAGAGGGUGAGAAUCCCGUCUUGGGCAGGGUGCCCGUGCCCGUGUGAAGCUCCUUCGACGAGUCGAGUUGUUUGGGAAUGCAGCUCAAAAUGGGUGGUAAAUUUCAUCUAAAGCUAAAUACCGGCCGGAGACCGAUAGCGCACAAGUAGAGUGAUCGAAAGAUGAAAAGCACUUUGAAAAGAGAGUUAAACAGCACGUGAAAUUGUUGAAAGGGAAGCGCUUGCAACCAGACUCGGCCUCGGGGUUCAGCCAGCAUUCGUGCUGGUGUACUUCCCCGGGGCCGGGCCAGCGUCGGUUUGGGCGGCCGGUCAAAGGCCCCAGGAAUGUAUCGUCCUCCGGGACGUCUUAUAGCCUGGGGUGCAAUGCGGCCAGCCUGGACCGAGGAACGCGCUUCGGCACGGACGCUGGCGUAAUGGUCGCAAACGACCCGUCUUGAAACACGGACCAAGGAGUCUAACAUCUACGCGAGUGUUCGGGUGUCAAACCCGUACGCGCAGUGAAAGCGAACGGAGGUGGGAGCCCCCCCGGGGCGCACCAUCGACCGAUCCUGAUGUCUUCGGAUGGAUUUGAGUACGAGCGUAGCUGUGGGGACCCGAAAGAUGGUGAACUAUGCCUGAAUAGGGUGAAGCCAGAGGAAACUCUGGUGGAGGCUCGCAGCGGUUCUGACGUGCAAAUCGAUCGUCAAAUUUGGGUAUAGGGGCGAAAGACUAAUCGAACCAUCUAGUAGCUGGUUCCUGCCGAAGUUUCCCUCAGGAUAGCAGUAACGCGGAUCAGUUUUAUGAGGUAAAGCGAAUGAUUAGAGGCAUUGGGGUUGAAACAACCUUAACCUAUUCUCAAACUUUAAAUAUGUAAGAAGCGCUUGUUGCUUAGUUGAACGUGCGCAUUAGAAUGGAGCGUUACUAGUGGGCCAUUUUUGGUAAGCAGAACUGGCGAUGCGGGAUGAACCGAACGCGAGGUUAAGGUGCCGGAAUGCACGCUCAUCAGACACCACAAAAGGUGUUAGUUCAUCUAGACAGCCCGACGGUGGCCAUGGAAGUCGGAAUCCGCUAAGGAGUGUGUAACAACUCACGGGCCGAAUGAACUAGCCCUGAAAAUGGAUGGCGCUCAAGCGUGCUACCCAUACCUCGCCGUCGGGGUAGAAACGAUGCCCCGACGAGUAGGCAGGCGUGGAGGUCCGUGACGAAGCCUUGGGCGUGAGCCCGGGUCGAACGGCCUCUAGUGCAGAUCUUGGUGGUAGUAGCAAAUACUCAAAUGAGAACUUUGAGGACUGAAGUGGGGAAAGGUUCCAUGUGAACAGCAGUUGGACAUGGGUUAGUCGACCCUAAGGCAUAGGGAAGUUCCGUUUGAAAGGCGCCCUCGUGCGCCGUGUGCCGAAAGGGAAGCCGGUUAAUAUUCCGGCACCUGGAUGUGGAUUCUCCACGGUAACGUAACUGAACGCGGAGACGUCGGCGGGGGUCCUGGGAAGAGUUCUCUUUUCUUCUUGACGGCCUAUCACCCUGAAAUCGGUUUGUCCGGAGCUAGGGUUCCAUGGCCGGCAGAGCCCUGCACCUUUGCAGGGUCCGGUGCGCCCCCGACGACCCUUGAAAAUCCGCGGGAAGGAAUAGUUUUCACGCCAGGUCGUACUCAUAACCGCAGCAGGUCUCCAAGGUGAACAGCCUCUAGUUGAUAGAACAAU